UCGAUUUCGUCAUUGUAUACUGUUAUUUAUCUUUUCCACCCUUUUAAGCUUGGUUGUUGGAUUUGUAAGCUUCUGGGAUUUCUCUCUUCAAAUUCCGCUACCAUGUUGGAUCGUUGUCGUCGUUGAUAUGCAGUUGAUUUGGCCAAUGCUGAUUUGUGAUAACAGCUCUGAGCACGCUAUAAACAAAAGCAGAGAAUAUGGGGACCAGUUUUGAGUUGUGGUUUUUUUCAGGGAGCACCUUCGUCUCUUCUUCACAGCACGGUUCUGGAAAAGCCUGAACUUGCUGACACAAUUAAUGCUCUGUGUACUGCUUUGUCGAGUUCUUUUCUCAAGUCCGCCCUCCUCCUUUCAUCCCUCCAUUAUUUUUCAGCGUGGGUUAAUGCCCUUCCUUUGGCUGAACAUCAUCAUGUUCUUCCGCUGGUUGUGGACCCAUCACCUGUACGUUUGGACUAGACAUUCUGGUCUGCGUAAUUGGCUUGGCUUUGGCCAUGGGAGCUUCAUGUAGACUUCUUGACCCGCGCCUUCUAUCUCAAGGACAGCAGCUUCCCCUCUAUUAUUCUUUCGUCCCGAUCUCACUGUACAAACCAAAACGACUUCAUGGGUUCCUUCUCCACAUGCUUGCAUUUUCCCACUUAUUUGGUCUCCACUGAUUGCUCGCAGCUGUUAUCUAUUUUCUGUGGUGUGGUCUCUUCACAGGUAUUUUUUAGCAUCAAAUUCAGUGUUUCUGUUUGUAUUGUUUCCUAUCGCCUGCUAGCACAGAUUCCCCGCAUCCUGUCUUGCUUCUUCAAGACAAUCAGUUCAUUGAUUAUCAUGUUUUAUCUGUUA